AACUUUGUCACUCACAGUCUGUCAGGCUUGUAAUAAGGUGAUAAAUGCUACGAUGCUACUGAUUUCUAACAUGCAACUCCGUGCCAGACUUGUAAUACAUAGUUACUACAAACUUCUUAUCUCAGUUUAUGACACAUCAUACAAAAAUACAAGAUAAUCAACCAUAACUUCCUCUUCCCCUCAGUCUCCUCCUCCUCCAAAAAAAGAAAAGUAGCUCAAUAUUGGGCUAAAUGUCAAGUUCUCCCCUUUGUACAAAAACUGAGUCAUAAAACUACAGCACCACAGUUAGAAACACCACCCUGCCUCUGGCAAAAAAUAACAUUUCUAUUAUUAAUAUUUCUUAAUUCCUUUGGUACACAAGUACAGGGACAGGGAAUGGCUUUGCUGCUUGCACAGGGACAGGGAAUGGCUUUGCUGCCUGUCAACCUCUCUCUUGCACUACCAGAAAUAUAGCCCCAGAGUUAGGAUGAGCUUUGGGAGCAGAGCAGUAGCUCAGCUAUGGUUGUCCUUAAACAAUGCAUAAAGUGAAGAGCCAGACUUGCUGUGACCCACUGUGUGCUCCCCGUGAAGGGUGAAACAGGAUUCUUGGAGAAAGGAAGAGGGAAUAAUUGUUUCCUUUCAAUCAGCAAGUCUCUGUUCCUCACUGCCAGAAACAUCACUAGAACCGAAACCAUAAUGUAAUUAUAAACUCUUUCUGAGAACUUUUAGUAGCACCUGAGCAGAAUAAAUUGCUGUCGAAAAUAUCAGAAUUGAUCUUUCCACCUCUAGAGUCUGGGGUGUUCUCAAAAGCAGAAAAAGAAACUGAAAAAGAUGAUCAUUCACUGGAAGUGGUUCUGAAGCCUCCUGUGAAAGCAGUAUUGGCCCCAAGAGAAGUCUAUAAGGAAAUAAACAGCACUGCUGCUCAGAGCUGGGGAAAGGAUGCAAAGCCCAAAGUGUUACCAGAAGGAAUGGCCUUACCAAUAAGGAGACCCAAGACUAAUUUCCUCAUAUAAAGCAUCAUCCACUGACAGGAGACUCCACACCUUAUGGCUCAGAAGUACCACUGACUCCCACAGAAGUGUUAUUAAAACUAAAAUAAAUACAA